AUUGAACGCUGGCGGCAGGCCUAACACAUGCAAGUCGAACGAGUGGCGGACGGGUGAGUAAUGUCUGGGAAACUGCCUGAUGGAGGGGGAUAACUACUGGAAACGGUAGCUAAUACCGCAUACCAUCAGAUGUGCCCAGAUUGGAUGAGCUAGUUGGAGGGGUAACGGCUAACCAAGGCGACGAUCCCUAGCUGGUCUGAGAGGAUGACCAGCCAACCUGGAACUGUGACACGGUCCAGACUCCUACGGGAGGAAGCAGUGGGGAAUAGUGCACAAUGGGCGCAAGCCUGAUGCAUCCAUGCCGCGUGUAUGAAAAAGGCCUUCGGGUUUUAAAGUACGUUCAGCGGGGAGGCGUUACCCGCAGAAGAAGCACCGGCUAACUCCGUGCCAGCAGCCGCGGUAAUUC
rnacentral:rRNA from 1 species